AGGCGCGUAGCUCAGUUGGUUAGAGCACCACCUUGACAUGGUGGGGGUCGUUGGUUCGAGUCCAAUCGUGCCUA
rnacentral:tRNA from 2 species